AAGUGUGUCCCUAAGCAUUUCGGUCAGAUCUGAUGGCACAGGUACCCUGGAGCUCCGGAGCCAAGGAAUGCCACAGGUCACAACUGGAAAAAUACCAGCAGUUUCAACCAAAAGCCUACAUCCAGCAGCUGAUGGAAGCAGAAGCAGAGAUCCACAGCUAAGCACUGAGCCAAACUCCUGGAAUCCAAUUUCAGAGAGGAAGGAGUGACAAACAAAGUGGUUAAGACCACACUGGGAAAAUCCACAGAAACAGCUGACCUGAACAAGUAGGAACUCAUUGACCCCAGUCUGACAGCUGGUAUGAAAGAUUGUAAGAGCCAUAGAUGAUGGAUGACAACAAAGAAAUUCUUUUCCUGAUACAACAGAACAGCCGCACACAUGAACUCAUGGGAACUAUGACAAUGUGCAAAAGAACUGUACAAGCUCAAGUCAAACAAAUUACUAGAAUGGAAACAAGAGCUGGGCACAAAACAACAUCCCAUCUGAGUAGCUACUGGCAAUUGAAAGCUGAUGGGAAAUAUAGAAUUAGUUUUCUUUAAGGGUAGAAUCGUUGUAGGUCUACCAUGGUCCAAAAGAUUGUCCCUCUCCCUGCCCCAAAUUAUCAUUUGUAGAGAAACAGGAGUGGAUCAUGGAGGAGUUGAAAUGAGGAACUGAACAUGAUAAAAAUAUGGCAUAAGAAAUUCUCAAAGGAUUGAUAAAACUCUUUGAAAGAAAAAAGUAUAAAUUAUGCUAAUUUUUAUAUAUUUCUUCUAAAAAUUGUUUUAUCUUGCUAUACUGGAGUAUUUUGUUAUUAUAUUAAUUAUAAUUAUUGUUUACUGCACUAGAGAGAGAACCAAUAAUAUUAUUCAUGCUAGAUCAGCACUGCACUGCUGAAUUACUAAACCUAUCUAAUUGUUUUUAUAAAGACACUUGGUAUGCAUGCUUGUAUAUUAAUUUAAAAUACUUCAUUUGUGUCUGUGUGGACUUUGAUUGAUGAAGCAACAUUCAUCUAAGAUGGCUUCUGUUUACUUUAGUUGUGUUAAGGCUUACUGUUUUUUUUUUUCUUUGUAUUCACUUUAGGUGUUGGAAUUAUAUAUAAUGGGUUAUUUACUAUUUUUUAAAUAGGAAUACCAAUUUUCUUUCUGUUUUUCAAACUGAAAAAGAAGAAGCAACAGCAACAAUUUGGAAAAAUGGUAGAAUUCAUUUAGUAACAAGGACAAUAUGAAUAUUGGAGCUGUUUUGAAGAGAUUAUUGUGAGCAUACUUUUAAUAUAAUGUGCUCACAUGAAUAACAAUUGUGGUCUUGACAGAAGGCACACAUUACCACAAUAAUUGCGCCUCAAUUAUGGUGACAAGAAAAUGAUGUCCUUGACCUAGCUUUUCAAUAUAGAUUCUGUCCCUAAUGGACCAUUAUUUAGAUAACAAAGUUGUAGUGCUUUCAAAAGUUGUAAUUCCUUGUUGGUUCAGUAAUUUGGCAAAUACCAUCUUCCUUAGGUCUCUGCUGUCUUUCAGAGCUCAGACACCAACUGUUCAUGGAUAUUAAUAAGCCAGAAAAGAGUGUGUUUCUAGUUUUUAUUCCUGUUAGGGGCAUCAGAUAUUGCCUUUUAUAUUCAAUUGAUUCUGUCAGAAUUUUAGUUUAAAUUUGUAUGGAACUUACAGAUCCAAACUAGACAAAGAAAUACAAAAUUGAAAGUAGUAAAAGGUUCCAUUUUUA
ensembl:lncRNA